UACGGGGGAGCAAGCGUUGUUCGGAUUUACUGGGCGUAAAGGGCGCGUAGGCGGCCACCGCAAGUUCGACUGUGAAAUCUCCGGGACUUAACCCCGGAAAGGUCAGCCGAUACUGCGGGCUAGAGUGCAGAAGGGGCAACUGGAAUUCUCGGUGUAGCGGUGAAAUGCGUAGAUAUCGAGAGGAACACCUGCGGCGAAGGCGGGUUGCUGGGCUGACACUGACGCUGAUGCGCGAAAGCGUGGGGAGCAAACAGG
rnacentral:rRNA from 1 species